GGGUCGAUGAUGAGAACCUUAUAUUG
rnacentral:ncRNA from 2 species